rnacentral:rRNA from 1 species
GAUGAACGCUGGCGGCGUGCCUAAUACAUGCAAGUCGAGCGAACGGACGAGAAGCUUGCUUCUCUGAUGUUAGCGGCGGACGGGUGAGUAACACGUGGAUAACCUACCUAUAAGACUGGGAUAACUUCGGGAAACCGGAGCUAGUACCGGAUAAUAUUUUGAACCGCAUGGUUCAAAAGUGAAAGACGGUCUUGCUGUCACUUAUAGGUGGAUCCGCGCUGCAUUAGCUAGUUGGUAAGGUAACGGCUUACCAAGGCAACGAUGCAUAGCCGACCUGAGAGGGUGAUCAGCCACACUGGAACUGAGACACGGUCCAGACUCCUACGGGAGGCAGCAGUAGGGAAUCUUCCGCAAUGGGCGAAAGCCUGACGGAGCAACGCCGCGUGAGUGAUGAAGGUCUUCGGAUCGUAAAACUCUGUUAUUAGGGAAGAACAUAUGUGUAAGUAACUGUGCACAUCUUGACGGUACCUAAUCAGAAAGCCACGGCUAACUACGUG